CCAAAAUGACUUCUGCACACCACCUGCUGUUUGCUCUUUUUGUUAUGUCUUUGACCAGCUCACUGAGAAAGCCGCACAUGCUCAGUUUCAUCUUUCAACUGCCUCCUGACCUGUGAUAGGGAGAGCUGAGUCACG